rnacentral:rRNA from 1 species
GAUGAACGCUGGCGGCGUGCUUAACACAUGCAAGUCGAACGAUGAAGCCCAGCUUGCUUGGUGUAUUAGUGGCGAACGGGUGAGUAACACGUGAGUAACCUGCCCUUAACUCUGUGAUAAGCCUUGGAAACUGUGUCUAAUACCGGAUAGAAGCGUCCACCGCACGGUGGGUGUUGGAGAGAUUUAUCGGUGUUGGAUGGACUCUCGGCCUAUCAGCUGGUUGGUGAGGUAAUGGCUCACCAAGGCGACGUCGGGUAGCCGGCCUGGGAGGGGGACCGGCAACACUGGGACUGGGAAACGGCCCAGACUCUUACGGGAGGAAGCAGGGGGGAAUAUUGAACAAGGGGGGAAAGCCGGAUGCAGAGACGCCGGGUGAGGGAUGACGGCCUUCGGGUUGUAAACCUCUUUCAGUAGGGAAGAAGCGAAAGUGACGGUACCUGCAGAAGAAGCACCGGCUAACUACGU